rnacentral:rRNA from 1 species
UGGGGAAUAUUGCACAAUGGGCGCAAGCCUGAUGCAGCCAUGCCGCGUGUGUGAAGAAGGCCUUCGGGUUGUAAAGUACUUUCAGCGGGGAGGAAGGGAGUAAAGUUAAUACCUUUGCUCAUUGACGUUACCCGCAGAAGAAGCACCGGCUAACUCCGUGCCAGCAGCCGCGGUAAUACGGAGGGUGCAAGCGUUAAUCGGAAUUACUGGGCGUAAAGCGCACGCAGGCGGUUUGUUAAGUCAGAUGUGAAAUCCCCGGGCUCAACCUGGGAACUGCAUCUGAUACUGGCAAGCUUGAGUCUCGUAGAGGGGGGUAGAAUUCCAGGUGUAGCGGUGAAAUGCGUAGAGAUCUGGAGGAAUACCGGUGGCGAAGGCGGCCCCCUGGACGAAGACUGACGCUCAGGUGCGAAAGCGUGGGGAGCAAACGGG